rnacentral:rRNA from 1 species
UACGCUUAACGUACAGGCUGCCGGAAAUACUGCAGAGCUAGGGAGUGGGAGAGGUAGACGGUACUCGGGAGGAAGUGGUAAAAUGCUUUGAUCUCUCGAUGACCACCUGUGGCGAAGGCGGUCUACCAGAACACGUCCGACGGUGAGGGAUGAAAGCUGGGGGAGCAAACCGGAUUAGAUACCCGGGUAGUCCCAGCUGUAAACUAUGCAAACUCAGUGAUGCAUUGGCUUGUGGCCAAUGCAGUGCUGCAGGGAAGCCGUUAAGUUUGCCGCCUGGGAAGUACGUACGCAAGUAUGAAACUUAAAGGAAUUGGCGGGGGAGCACCACAAGGGGUGAAGCCUGCGGUUCAAUUGGAGUCAACGCCAGAAAUCUUACCCGGAGAGACAGCAGAAUGAAGGUCAAGCUGAAGACUUUACCAGACAAGCUGAGAGGUGGUGCAUGGCCGUCGCCAGCUCGUGCCGUGAGAUGUCCUGUUAAGUCAGGUAACGAGCGAGAUCCCUGCCUCUAGUUGCCACCAUUACUCUCAGGAGUAGUGGGGCGAAUUAGCGGGACCGCCGCAGUUAAUGCGGAGGAAGGAAGGGGCCACGGCAGGUCAGUAUGCCCCGAAAAUC